UUUCAAAAUAAAAUAUUAAUGUUAACGCUAAAAAAACCUUAUGAUAAAGACACCUGGGACUUUCCCCCUGUUACCGUCAACGCAUAUUACAAGGCGAACGCAAACGAAAUGGUAUUCCCAGCUGGCAUUUUGCAAGAACCUUUGUUUUAUUCGGACCUACCUAC